GUGAUGUCAAGGUUAGUUUGGUAAAAACAGAAUGUUGUUAGUGCAUUUUUUACCAAAUUCUUUCCUGGACAGAAACUCUAGGGGUUAGUUACAUGGGCAUAAACUAUUCUAAUGGAGCUAAACUCCUGCACCUAAGGGUUUGUGUAACAGCCUGAAACCGACGCUUCAGAAGAUUCUCAUUUUAUUUUGUUAUGGUCAUAUGAUU
rnacentral:lncRNA from 1 species